AUUGAACGCUGGCGGCAUGCCUUACACACGCAAGUCGAACGGUAACAGGUCUUCGGAUGCUGACGAGUGGCGAACGGGUGAGUAAUACAUCGGAACGUGCCUAGUAGUGGGGGAUAACUACUCGAAAGAGCGGCUAAUACCGCAUGAGAUCUACGGAUGAAAGCAGGGGAUCGCAAGACCUUGUGCUACUAGAGCGGCCGAUGGCAGAUUAGGUAGUUGGUGGGAUAAAAGCUUACCAAGCCGACGAUCUGUAGCUGGUCUGAGAGGACGAUCAGCCACACUGGGACUGAGACACGGCCCAGACUCCUACGGGAGGCAGCAGUGGGGAAUUUUGGACAAUGGGCGCAAGCCUGAUCCAGCAAUGCCGCGUGCAGGAUGAAGGCCUUCGGGUUGUAAACUGCUUUUGUACGGAACGAAAAGCCCCGGGUUAAUACCCUGGGGUCAUGACGGUACCGUAAGAAUAAGCACCGGCUAACUACGUGCCAGCAGCCGCAGUAA
rnacentral:rRNA from 1 species